rnacentral:rRNA from 1 species
GAUGAACGCUAGCGGGAGGCCUAACACAUGCAAGCCGAGCGGUAUUGUUUCUUCGGAAAUGAGAGAGCGGCGUACGGGUGCGGAACACGUGUGCAACCUGCCUUUAUCUGGGGGAUAGCCUUUCGAAAGGAAGAUUAAUACUCCAUAAUAUAUUGAACGGCAUCGUUUAAUAUUGAAAGCUCCGGCGGAUAGAGAUGGGCACGCGCAAGAUUAGCUAGUUGGUGAGGUAACGGCUCACCAAGGCGAUGAUCUUUAGGGGGCCUGAGAGGGUGAUCCCCCACACUGGUACUGAGACACGGACCAGACUCCUACGGGAGGCAGCAGUGAGGAAUAUUGGUCAAUGGGUGCAAGCCUGAACCAGCCAUCCCGCGUGAAGGACGACUGCCCUAUGGGUUGUAAACUUCUUUUGUAUAGGGAUAAACCUACCCUCGUGAGGGUAGCUGAAGGUACUAUACGAAUAAGCACCGGCUAACUCCGUGCCAGCAGCCGCGGUAAUACGGAGGGUGCAAGCGUUAUCCGGAUUUAUUGGGUUUAAAGGGUCCGUAGGCGGACUUAUAAGUCAGUGGUGAAAGCCUGUCGCUUAACGAUAGAACUGCCAUUGGUACUGUAAGUCUUGAGUAUAUUUGAGGUAGCUGGAAUAAGUAGUGUAGCGGUGAAAUGCAUAGAUAUUACUUAGAACACCAAUUGCGAAGGCAGGUUACCAAGAUAUAACUGACGCUGAGGGACGAAAGCGUGGGGAGCGAACAGGAUUAGAUACCCUGGUAGUCCACGCCGUAAACGAUGCUAACUCGUUUUUGGGCUUUAGGGUUCAGAGACCAAGCGAAAGUGAUAAGUUAGCCACCUGGGGAGUACGCUCGCAAGAAUGAAACUCAAAGGAAUUGACGGGGGCCCGCACAAGCGGUGGAUUAUGUGGUUUAAUUCGAUGAUACGCGAGGAACCUUACCAAGACUUAAAUGGGAAUUGACAGCUUUAGAAAUAGAGCUUUCUUCGGACAAUUUUCAAGGUGCUGCAUGGUUGUCGUCAGCUCGUGCCGUGAGGUGUUAGGUUAAGUCCUGCAACGAGCGCAACCCCUGUCACUAGUUGCCAUCAUUCAGUUGGGGACUCUAGUGAGACUGCCUACGCAAGUAGAGAGGAAGGUGGGGAUGACGUCAAAUCAUCACGGCCCUUACGUCUUGGGCCACACACGUAAUACAAUGGCCGGUACAGAGGGCAGCUACACAGCGAUGUGAUGCAAAUCUCGAAAGCCGGUCUCAGUUCGGAUUGGAGUCUGCAACUCGACUCUAUGAAGCUGGAAUCGCUAGUAAUCGCGCAUCAGCCAUGGCGCGGUGAAUACGUUCCCGGGCCU